AAGCCUGAACGAGCAAUGCCGCGUGAACGAGGAAGGUCUUCGGAUCGUAAAGUUCUGUUGAGAGGGAAAAAGGGGUCACCAGAGGAAAUGCUGGUGUAAGUGAUAUUACCUUUCGAGGAAGUCACGGCUAACUACGUGCC
rnacentral:rRNA from 1 species